rnacentral:rRNA from 1 species
CGUGUGCGAACCUGCCCUGGAUGUGUAGGAGAUAAUCCGAUCGGAAACGUCGCGCUAAUACCUGCAUACGGUGCCUGAGGGCUGAAAGAUUUAUCGCUCUAGAGAGCGGGCCCGCGUCGGAUUAGCCUCAGUUGGUCGAGGUAACGGCUCACCAAUGGCGAUGAUCCGUAGCUGGUCUGAGAGGAUGGAUCAGCCACACUGGGUACUGAGACACGGAUCCAGACUCCAUACGGGAGGCAGCAGUGGGGAAUAUUGGACAAUGGGGGCAACCCUGAUCCAGCAAUGCCGCGUGAGUGAUGAAGGCCUUCGGGUUGUAAAGCUCUUUCGCGCGCGACGAUGAUGACGGUAGCGCGAGAAGAAGCCCCGGCUAACUUCGUGCCAGCCGCCGCGG